CCUACGGGUGGCAGCAGUGGGGAAUAUUGGGCAAUGGGCGCAAGCCUGACCCAGCAACGCCGCGUGAAGGAAGAAGGCUUUCGGGUUGUAAACUUCUUUUAAGCGGGAAGAGCAGAAGACGGUAGCCCUUGAAUAAGCCACGGCAAACUACGUGCCAGCAGCCGCGGUAAUACGUAGGUGGCAAGCGUUGUCCGGAUUUACUGGGUGUAAAGGGCGUGUAGCCGGGCUUACAAGUCAGAUGUGAAAUUCCGGGGCUCAACCCCGGACCUGCAUUUGUAACUGUUGGUCUUGAGUAUCGGAGAGGCAGGCGGAAUUCCUAGUGUAGCGGUGAAAUGCGUAGAUAUUAGGUGGAACACCAGUGGCGAAGGCGGCCUUCUGGACGACAACUGACGGUGAGGCGCGAAAGCGUGGGGAGCAAACAGGAUUAGAUACCCUUGUAGUC
rnacentral:rRNA from 1 species